CUUGCUGAUGUAUUGUCAUAUUUCUCUUUAAAGCACUGUAUUUUUACUUGUGUUGUUGUUGGAAACAAAGAAAAAAGAAAAACAAAACCCCAAAAAUAUGUGAAGUGCUGUGAACUAAAGAUGGAGGCAGAAUCAGUUAUAUAAUAUUGAAUUCCAUGACUUGGCAGAAUGUUUCACAUACUCAUCCACACUAUAACAACUCAGUGAUGCUCCCUGUUUACAAGUCAAUAGGAUGAAUGGGACCUAUUUUGUUUACGUGUCUGUGGCUCAGAAGAAGCUGAUAUCCUUAUCCAGCAAAAAUAAUCCCCAGUCAAGGUCUGCAGUCAAAGACUUGGAGAACAUUUUCAAUAUUACAAAAUAGAAGAAGGACAUAGAUUUAUAUCUGACCUCUCGCCUGACUAAGAAACAUGGAAGUUACUCCACUAACAUCACUGGGAAACUAUACAGGUGUUCAGUUGCCUCUGGGAGAAUGGCUGCUCUCCUGAAAGAAAAUACAAGUAUGCAGACAUACCAGGUUUUUCUCCCCGAGCAAAAAUGGCCAUUCCAGGAGAAAAAUAACCCUACUACAACCAGGUAGAAAUAACUCCAG
rnacentral:lncRNA from 1 species